rnacentral:rRNA from 1 species
GUACUGACGCUCAGGCACGAAAGCGUGGGGAUCAAACAGGAUUAGAUACCCUGGUAGUCCACGCAGUAAACGAUGAUGACUUGUUGUCGGCGAUAGAAUGUCGGUGACAAAGCGAAAGCGAUAAGUCAUCCACCUGGGGAGUACGAUCGCAAGGUUGAAACUCAAAGGAAUUGACGGGGGCCCGCACAAGCGGAGGAGCAUGUGGUUUAAUUCGAUGAUACGCGAGGAACCUUACCUGGACUCAAAUGUUGGAUGACGGGUGCAGAAAUGCGCCUUUCCUUCGGGACAUCCAGCAAGGUGCUGCAUGGUUGUCGUCAGCUCGUGCCGUGAGGUGUCAGGUUAAGUCCUAUAACGAGCGCAACCCCUACGUCCAGUUGCCAGCGGGUAAAGCCGGGGACUCUGGAGGGACUGCCGGCGCAAGCCGAGAGGAAGGUGGGGAUGACGUCAAAUCAGCACGGCCCUUACGUCCAGGGCGACACACGUGCUACAAUGGCCGGUACAGAGGGCAGCCACCCCGCGAGGGGGAACGAAUCUCGAAAGCCGGUCUCAGUUCGGAUCGGAGUCUGCAACUCGACUCCGUGAAGUUGGAUUCGCUAGUAA